rnacentral:rRNA from 1 species
UGGGGAAUAUUGCGCAAUGGGCGAAAGCCUGACGCAGCGACGCCGCGUGAGGGAUGAAGGUCUUCGGAUCGUAAACCUCUGUCAGGGGGGAAGAACCGCACAGGAGCGAACAGGUCUUGUGUCUGACGGUACCCCCAAAGGAAGCACCGGCUAACUCCGUGCCAGCAGCCGCGGUAAUACGGAGGGUGCGAGCGUUAAUCGGAAUCACUGGGCGUAAAGCGCACGUAGGCGGCUAUUCAAGUCGGGGGUGAAAUCCCGGGGCUCAACCUCGGAACUGCCUUCGAAACUGGAUGGCUUGAGUACCGGAGAGGGUGGCGGAAUUCCAGGUGUAGGAGUGAAAUCCGUAGAUAUCUGGAGGAACACCGGUGGCGAAGGCGGCCACCUGGACGGUAACUGACGCUGAGGUGCGAAAGCGUGGGUAGCAAACA